rnacentral:rRNA from 1 species
GAGUUUGAUCAUGGCUCAGGAUGAACGCUGGCGGCGUGCUUAACACAUGCAAGUCGAACGAUGAUGCCAGCUUGCUGGUGGAUUAGUGGCGAACGGGUGAGUAACACGUGAGUAACCUGCCCUUGACUCUGGGAUAAGCCUGGGAAACUGGGUCUAAUACCGGAUAUGACCUUCCAUCGCAUGGUGGUUGGUGGAAAGCUUUUGUGGUUUUGGAUGGACUCGCGGCCUAUCAGCUUGUUGGUGGGGUAAUGGCCUACCAAGGCGACGACGGGUAGCCGGCCUGAGAGGGUGACCGGCCACACUGGGACUGAGACACGGCCCAGACUCCUACGGGAGGCAGCAGUGGGGAAUAUUGCACAAUGGGCGCAAGCCUGAUGCAGCGACGCCGCGUGAGGGAUGACGGCCUUCGGGUUGUAAACCUCUUUCAGUAGGGAAGAAGCGAAAGUGACGGUACCUGCAGAAGAAGCGCCGGCUAACUACGUGCCAGCAGCCGCGGUAAUACGUAGGGCGCAAGCGUUAUCCGGAAUUAUUGGGCGUAAAGAGCUCGUAGGCGGUUUGUCGCGUCUGCCGUGAAAGUCCGGGGCUCAACUCCGGAUCUGCGGUGGGUACGGGCAGACUAGAGUGAUGUAGGGGAGACUGGAAUUCCUGGUGUAGCGGUGAAAUGCGCAGAUAUCAGGAGGAACACCGAUGGCGA